CCCACCUCAAAAACCAAAACCCACAAAAAUUGGCACUCUCCCCAAAACUUAUUGCAAUAUGCAAGGCAAAUAGGAAGAGAGAUGGGGCACGAAGUUUGGGAGAAGGAGAAGGGCAUUCUGAGUACUGAGAGUUUAACCAAAUUAAUAGCACUAUUAUCGAGGUUAGGGAAAGGGAAGGCGGCAUUUGAUGUGUUCAAUAAGUUUGGAGAGUUUGGAUCUCCCACAAACUGAUAAAGAAAUACCUACGAAAAUUGAUAGAGAAACUGAUAGGGAAGCUUUUUCCUUGGCUUUAGAGAUGCUUAAGGAUUAUACAAAAGAAGAUCGGAUGUAUGCAGUUAAGCCUUUCUCGAGUGUCAAUCAGAAAUUGUGUUGGAUUGAAGACGUUGAAAGGACAAAAACUUUGCUCCUCC
rnacentral:lncRNA from 1 species